rnacentral:rRNA from 1 species
UACAGAGGUCUCAAGCGUUGUUCGGAUUCAUUGGGCGUAAAGCGCGUGUAGGCUGCUUGGAAAGUCGGAUGUGAAAGCCCUGGGCUUAACCCAGGAAGUGCAUUCGAAACUUCCAAGCUCGAGUCCUGGAGAGGGUGGCGGAAUUCUCGGUGUAGAGGUGAAAUUCGUAGAUAUCGGGAGGAACACCAGUGGCGAAGGCGGAGACCUGGGGAGAUAUUGACGCUGAGGUGCGAAAGCGUGGGGAGCAAACAGG